rnacentral:rRNA from 1 species
CCUACGGGUGGCAGCAGUGAGGAAUAUUGGUCAAUGGCCGGAAGGCUGAACCAGCCAUGCCGCGUGAAGGUCAGUGCCCUAUGGGCGUUAAACUUCUUUUGUGCGGGAGCAAUAAUGGUCACGUGUGGCCAGACGAGAGUACCGUCUGCAUAAGCAUCGGCUAACUCCGUGCCAGCAGCCGCGGUAAUACGGGGGAUGCAAGCGUUAUCCGGAUUUAUUGGGUUUAAAGGGUGCGUAGGCUGUGAGGUAAGUCAGCGGUCAAAUCGUGGGGCUAAACCCCAGCCAGCCGUUGAAACUGGGGAUCUAGAGUGUGCGAGAGGUAUGCGGAAUGCGUGGUGUAGCGGUGAAAUGCAUAGAUAUCACGCAGAACCCCGAUUGCGAAGGCAGCAUACCGGUGCACAACUGACGCUCAGGCACGAAAGCGUGGGUAUCGAACAGGAUUAGAUACCCGUGUAGUC